rnacentral:lncRNA from 1 species
UGUUCCUUUCCCUUAAAUCUGGGUUCUGGGGAUUCUUGGGCAAAAUGGUGGAAGUGAUGCUGUGUCAGACCCAGGCUGUAAGAAAUGGCAGCUUCCACUACCCAUAAAGCGGGUUGCUUACAUUUGGAACUCAACCACCAUGCUGUGAUGAAGCCCACCAGCUCCAUGGAAGGGCCAUGUGGAAGGGAACAGAGGCCCUCACACCCACAGAGCUAAUGGAUCCUCCAGUCCCCCGUCGAGUUGCCCCAGCUGAUGCCUCCUGGAGCAAGACUGUGCCUUCCCCGAUGAGCUCUGCUUAACUUGCAGACCUGUUUGCUCUUGUUUCAAGCCAUCAAAUUUGGGGGUCAUUUGUUACACAGUGACAGCUAACUGAGACACCCAACAGCCAAAAAAAUCAGCACCAGUGCCUGAACACAGGCUUUGGGGUCAGUCCCACCAGUCUUAUCCCAAGAUCUCUCUCAGCCUCUGUUUCUGCCUCUGCAAACAGUGGUUGUAAUAGCACUUGCCUUGAGAGGCCCUGAGAGGGUGGAAUGAGAUGAGGGGUGGAGGGGCUGGCAGAGUGCGAGCCACGGUGCUUGGCAGCUUCUGCGGUUGCCCAUUACUGUUAUUAUCGUAAGCACUAAAAAAAUGACCCACUCCAGGCUUCAUUAAAAUAGUCAGAUCCUUCACUGAUCAUUCCUUUGGGGGCUUCCUCCUCCAGGAAGCCUUCCCUGACCAUCCCAGGCUGAGCUGCUAUCACCUUUGUGCAUCUACAGCCCCCUGUUUUCUCCCCACCAUGACAUGGGUCCCACUGAGUGGUCACAGCCUGUUUAUAGCUGCCAGGCUGGGAGCUCCUCAAGGGCAUCAACAGAAUGGCUGGCAAGGGGUUGAAGAGCCCCAUGGGAGGACGGUAUGUGUGCACACAGGUGGGGGCCCUGGAGCUGCUUGCUGUGGCUGCGUGGCCCUCAGCCAGCCUGUGCACCCUGAGUGUGCCCUUGCAUGAGUCUUGCGUGCAAGGCCUCUGAGUAUUUUGGCCAGGCUGUGCUCACGAGGAUCCAUGUACGCAUGUCUGUAGGUAUACGUGGCGUGGGUAUAUCUCAGUGCUUGUGCUUGUGUGCACCCUCUGUGUGCAAGCAUGUUUGUGUACAUGUGCCCGUGGAGGGGCAUGGGCGGUGGGUGGGGGGCAGGUAUCUGUCUCUCUGCCUUCUUGGGGUCUCUCCUGCCUCCCUCACAGCCUCACUGGCCUGAGCCUCAACCAGGGUGGUUGGUGUCUAACAGGAUUGGUGAAGGCACUAUGUGAGGACAAGUCCCCCCAAUCCAGGUCACAUGCUGUGGCCUCCCCAGCUGUGGGCCCCGAGCCCUGCCUUUGGAGUUCACCAGUGGGUGUGUGCGUGCACACGCGUGUGCAGCUUAGAGUGAUGAUAAUGCACACAGGGAUGACUGGUGACACCGCUGGACUGCCUGCCCCUGCUCUCCACACUGAAGAUGCAUUACCUCACUUGACUCUAUAAGGUAAUUACGAUCACCAUUCAUGCUUUACAGAUGAGGAAACCAAGGCUCAGAACAGUGGGGUGACUUGUUGAAGGUCACGAGCUAAUACAUGGUAAAGCGGGGCUUUGAACGCAGGCAGUUCUUGCAGGGAAGCCUUGUCCGCUGCCCUUGCUAAGUCUCAGUUUCCUCCUCUGUAAAGUGAACACACACAAUGUAACAUUUCCCUCUCCAGGUGAUCCUGGGGGCAAGGCAAGGGCAAAGGCCUUGCCAGCAGGGAGGCAGGGGACUGGCCAGUGAGGGGGUCUGGGGGAGCCGAUGGCAGCUACAGGGCGCAGGGGCAGAGGACACACUUGGCCAUCACUCAGCUUGGGCUAGGGUCUCAGGCCAUUUGUAGCCUGGUCUUGGACCAUCCCCAGCUUGACGCUCCAGUUCCUCUUCCAUCAAGCUGGGAAAAGCCAACUUGCCUGGCAGGGGUACUUCCAGGGCUCCCUCUGCAGAGCAGGAAUAGCCAGACACACCGUUCCUAUCCUUCUGGACUUGGGGGCACCUGAGGGUGGGCUUGAAUCCAACUCCUUCCUCAGCCCCUGGUCCCCACUCCCAUGGUAUGAGAUGCUUUCAAUGGCUGAGGGUUUAGCUUGCUCUAAACACAGUCCCCAAAGCCCCCAGCUUUGGGCAGGCCCCCUCCAGCACCUAUUUGAGGGCUUCAACUGCUCAGUUUUCCACUUGGGUCAGACCUAUUUGGGGUGAGGGGGAAUGAGAAUUAUGGGAGUGUGGCCUCCACCCAUCAUAAUCCACUCCCAGCCCUCCUGGAAAGCCUGAUUCCUCAGCGGUCCCAGGGCCAAAGAUGGGCUGGGUGCUGCAAGGGGGUGCCCCUCAGAUAUCUUGUGCAUCCCAGUUUAGAGGCUCAUGUUCCAAGCUCCCUCCCCAACUUUUUCCACCCUUCCGAUGGAACCAACAGGCCAGGAAGAAACAGGUAAGAUGUUGACUCAUUUAUUUGUUUCUUCAACAGAUAUUUAUUGAGCAACUACUGUACUGCAGGAGCUGAAAUGGGUGUCAGUCUAGUACCAGAC